GAGGUGCCAGCUAUCCAUAGCUCAGUGGUAGAGCACAUGCUCAAUGUGCAAGAGGUCCAAGGUUCGUUUCCCCGCCCCCAGCAUCUCU